ACUUCAGAUGGUGCAAAACAGACCAGCCAGGUUGCUGACGGGGACUGGGCAGCUGGUCUUGCUUGUUCUCAUAUAACCCCAGUUCUCCAUCAGCUUCCCUGGCUCCCGAUUGAACUCCGGACCCAAUUCAGGGUGUUGCUUAUGACCUAUAAAGCCCUCAACGACUUGGGACCUGGUUAUCUAAAGGAACGCUUGUGUCCAUAUAUGCCCU